UAGGGAAUCUUCGGCAAUGGGGGGAACCCUGACCGAGCAACGCCGCGUGAGUGAAGAAGGUUUUCGGAUCGUAAAGCUCUGUUGUUAAGGAAGAACGAGUGUGAGAAUGGAAAGUUCAUGCUGUGACGGUACUUAACCAGAAAGGGACGGCUAACUACGUGCCAGCAGCCGCGGUAAUACGUAGGUCCCGAGCGUUGUCCGGAUUUAUUGGGCGUAAAGCGAGCGCAGGCGGUUAGAUAAGUCUGAAGUUAAAGGCAGUGGCUCAACCAUUGUAGGCUUUGGAAACUGGUUAACUUGAGUGCAGAAGGGGAGAGGGGAAUUCCAUGUGUAGCGGUGAAAUGCGUAGAUAUAUGGAGGAACACCGGUGGCGAAAGCGGCUCUCUGGUCUGUAACUGACGCUGAGGCUCGAAAGCGUGGGGAGCGAACAGG
rnacentral:rRNA from 1 species